rnacentral:lncRNA from 1 species
UCUGUUCCAGAUUUUUCUCUCUCUAGUUGAGCUUAAUAGGAGUUCAAUUAUCAUUGUAAUUAAGCCUAUAAAAGGCCUGUUCCGUUUCAGAAAUAAAGAAAGCAACAAGCAUUAAUUUUCAGCAUAAGAUUUCUCUUUUGUUCUGUUUUUAUUCCCAUCUCUUAUUGCUCUGUUUUUUUAUUUAUUUCUGUCUAUAUUCCAACAAAGUGGUAUCAAAGCUGGUUCUUUCAU